CCUACGGGUGACAGCAGUGGGGGAUAUUGCGCAAUGGGGGGAACCCUGAUGCAGCGACGCCGCGUGGGUGAAGAAGCGCUUCGGCGCGUAAAGCCCUGUCAGCAGGGAAGAAAAUGACGAUACCUGCAGAAGAAUCCCCGGCUAACUACUUGCCAGCAGCCGCGGUAAUACGUAGGGGGCUAGCGUGAUCCGGCUUUACUGGGGGUAAAGGGGGCGCAGACGGCGAUGCAAGCCAGGAGGGAAAGACCGGGGCCCCACCCCGGGACUGCUCUUGGAACUGAGUGGCUGGAGUGCAGGAGGGGCAGGCGGAAUUCCUGGUGUAGCGGUGAAAUGCGUAGAUAUCAGGAGGAACACCGGUGGCGAAGGCGGCAUGCUGGACUGCAACUGACGUUGAGGCCCGAAAGCGUGGGGAGCAAACAGGAUUAGAUACCCCGGUAGUC
rnacentral:rRNA from 1 species